UGCUAUCGGGUUGAGAUAAGCCCAUGCAAGUCGAGCGUUUUCAAGCUAUGUUGAAAGCGCGGCAUAAGGCUCCGUAACACGUAGUUAACCUACCCUCAGGAUGGAGAUAACCCUGGGAAACUGGGACUAAUAUCCAAUAAAUGAUAUGCCUGGAAUGGUAUAUCAUUGAAAGGGCUGAAUACAUGCUUUCAGUAUCACCUGAGGAUGGGACUGCGUCCGAUCAGGUUGUUGGCGGGGUAACGGCCCACCAAGCCUAUAACCGGUACGGGCCCUGAGAGGGGGAGCCCGGAGAUGGAAACUGAGACAAGGUUCCAGGCCCUACGGGGCGCAGCAGGCGCGAAACCUCCACAAUGCGCGAAAGCGUGAUGGGGUUAGCCCGAGCGCUGUCCGAAAAGGAUGGCUUUUCCUUGGCGUAAAAACCCGGGGGAAUAAAGGGGGGGCAAGACUGGUGUCAGCCGCCGCGGUAAUACCAGCCCCCUGAGUGGUAAGGACGAUUAUUUGGCUUAAAGCGUCCGUAGCCGGCUUAGUGAGUCUCUUGUUAAAUCCAAUGAUUCAAUCAUUGAACUGCAAGAGAUACUACUAUGCUAGAGGACGGGAGAGGUCGACGGUAGUCCAAGGGUAGGGGUGAAAUCCUAUAAUCCUUGGAGGACCACCAGUGGCGAAGGCGGUCGACUAGAACGUGCCUGACGGUGAGGGACGAAAGCUGGGGGAGCGAACCGGAUUAGAUACCCGGGUAGUCCCAGCUGUAAACGAUGCGGGCUAGGUGUAGGGGCAGCUACGAGCUGCUCCUGUGCCGCAGAGAAAUUGUUAAGCCCGCCGCCUGGGGAGUACGAUCGCAAGAUUGAAACUUAAAGGAAUUGGCGGGGGAGCACCACAAGGGGUGAAGGCUGCGGUUUAAUUGGAGUCAACGCCGGG
rnacentral:rRNA from 1 species